rnacentral:rRNA from 1 species
AGGAUAAACGCUGGCGGCGUGCCUAAAACAUGCAAGUCGAACGGACCCUUCGGGGUUAGUGGCGAACGGGCUGAGUAACACGUGGGUGACCUGCCUUCGAACGGGGGAUAACUGCCCCGAAAGGGUGGCUAAUACCGCAGAUGUCUUGUUUUCGAUGAUGAGACUAAACCGUUUAGGGUUCGGAGAGGGGCCUGCGUCCGAUUAGCUAGUUGGUGGGGUAAAGGCCUACCAAGGCGACGAUCGGUAGCUGGUCUGAGAGGAUGAUCAGCCAGACUGGGACUGCGAGACGGCCCAGACUCCUACGGGAGGCAGCAGUUAGGAAUUUUGGGCAAUGGGCGAAAGCCUGACCCAGCAACGCCGACGUGGGUGAAGAAGGCCUUACGGGUCCGUAAAAGGCCCUUUUCCCCGAGGGAAGAUAAUGACGGUACCUGGGGAAAUCGAGCCCGGCUAACUACGUGCCAGCAGCCGC